UACAGAGGGUGCAAGCGUUGUUCGGAAUUAUUGGGCGUAAAGGGCGCGUAGGCGGUGCGGUAAGUCUGUAGUGAAAUCUCUGGGCUCAACUCAGAGUCUGCUAUAGAAACUGCCGUGCUGGAGUGUGGGAGAGGUGAGUGGAAUUCCCGGUGUAGCGGUGAAAUGCGUAGAUAUCCGAAGGAACGCCGGUGGCGAAAGCGGCGUGCUGGACCCCUUCUGACGCUGAGG
rnacentral:rRNA from 1 species